CAUUUUUCAUCCAUUUUCUGUUCACCAUGUGGCUAGUGAUCAUGAUCCAGUGAUCAGGGGAAACAGGGAAACGUUGGAAAUAGCCAACGGCGGCGGUGGGAAAGUUCUUUCCCCUGAAACUUACAAUGACAACUGUCCUCCCCCACCUCCUAAACCUGAAUGUCCACUUCCACCCCCGCCUCCACCUCCUCCCCCUCCUGUACCAAAAUGUACACUUCCCCCACCUCCACCUCCACCUCCGCCUCCGCCUCCGCCUCCUGUACCAAAAUGUACAUUUCCCCCACCUCCACCUCCUCCGCCGCCACCACCUCCACCUCCUCCGCCGCCUCCUUGUAAGUUCAAGACAAAAAGCGGCUGCUUCAGAAACCAGCGGCUAGCAAAAACCCACGACGUGAUCCAAACAUUCAAGAGCAAAAUCCUAGUCGACGACAACAGCAAAAAAUACACAGAGACAUGGCGAGG
rnacentral:lncRNA from 1 species